rnacentral:rRNA from 1 species
CACGGGGGGAGCAAGCGUUGUUCGGAAUCACUGGGCGUAAAGGGCGUGCAGGCGGUCAGGUAAGUGGGAUGUGAAAUGCCCCGGCUCACCCGGGGACCGGCAUCUCAUACUGCUUGGCUUGAGUACGGGAGAGGAUGUGGGAAUUCCUGGUGUAGCGGUGAAAUGCGUAGAUAUCAGGAGGAACACCGGUGGCGAAGGCGCACAUCUGGCCCGAUACUGACGCUGAGGCGCGAAAGCGUGGGUAGCAAACAGG